rnacentral:rRNA from 1 species
UACGUAGGGUGCAAGCGUUAAUCGGAUUUACUGGGCGUAAAGGGCGCGUAGGUGGUUAUGUAAGUGAGAUGUGAAAUCCCCGGGCUUAACCUGGGAACUGCAUCUUAGACUAUAUAGCUGGAGUACAGUAGAGGGUAGUGGAAUUUCCGGUGUAGCGGUGAAAUGCGUAGAUAUCGGAAGGAACACCAGUGGCGAAGGCGGCUACCUGGACUGAAACUGACACUGAGGCGCGAGAGCGUGGGGAGCAAACAGG